rnacentral:lncRNA from 1 species
ACCCCAUAUAAGGAUCAGAGAACUAAGUUAGGAAGUCAACCAAAAUAUAGAUUCAUGUACACAAGGUACCAUGGUGAUCUUAGAUCAAAGGAUCACUUACACAACUCCCACUAGAGAAUCAUCAGCUGACAUAUAAAUAAAACUUCAUCAGAUGUUCUCUCUUAGGUCUCUUCACUGAACUCAUUCUCUAAUGAGCACCCACAUCACCACAUAAGUAGUUAUGAGAUCAAC